rnacentral:rRNA from 1 species
AAUGAACGCUGGCGGCGUGCAUAACACAUGCAAGUCGUACGAGAAAUCUCCGGCUUUGCCGGAGAGAGUAAAAGUGGCGCACGGGGUUGAGUAACGCGUGGGUAACCCACCUCCGAAUCGGGAAUAACUCCGCGAAAGUGGAGCUAAUACCCGGUAAGACCACAUCCCGUCCGCGGGAUGGGGUAAAAGCUGACCUCUCCAUGGAAGUUAGCGUUUUGGAGACGGGCCCGCGUCCUAUCAGCUAGUUGGUAGGGUAAUGGCCUACCAAGGCGACGACGGGUAGCUGGUCUGAGAGGAUGAUCAGCCACACUGGAACUGGAACACGGUCCAGACUCCUACGGGAGGCAGCAGUGAGGAAUUUUUGCGCAAUGGGCGAAAGCCUGACGCAGCAACGCCGCGUGGGUGAAGAAGGCCUUCGGGUCGUAAAGCCCUGUCAGGUGGGAAGAACCGUUCCGGUACGAAUACUGCUGGAACCUGACGGUACCACCAGAGGAAGCACCGGCCAACUCCGUGCCAGCAGCCGCGGUAA